rnacentral:rRNA from 1 species
UACGGAGGGUGCGAGCGUUAUCCGGAAUUACUGGGUUUAAAGGGUGCGUAGGCGGCCAUGUAAGUCAGGUGUGAAAGUUUGCGGCUCAACCGUAAAAUUGCUUUUGAUACUGCAUGGCUGGAAUCAGGAUGAGGUCAGCGGAAUGUGGCAUGUAGCGGUGAAAUGCAUAGAUAUGCCAUAGAACACCAAUUGCGAAGGCAGCUGGCUAGACCUGUAUUGACGCUGAGGCACGAAAGCGUGGGGAGCGAACAGG